UCAACUCAGUGACAUUUUGGAAAUGGUGUAGGACUAACUGACCAAAUUAUGUUGAACAUACAGUAGGCUUUGUUAUACGACAGAAUAACAUUCAGACAGGUCAUAGAUAUUAUUAUCUAAAAUAAACAAAAACGAAUUGUUUCACAACAGUUCCGCAGAUGUCUUGUCGUCUACUCAGGAAAGACGCGUCAUGGCCAUCACACAAUUUUUUUUCAUAAUUCAGGGGGGCAGGAUCCAAACAAGGUAGAUCGAUAUUGAAGAUGGAAGGAGCAGUGACACGCACUGUGAUAACGUCUACCAGCAUCAGCGGACAACUUUUCCACCUCUAGUCUGGUUUACGACAGGCACUUUCUUCGCACUGCUUCGGGGCUCCUUGUUUUCGCAGAAAUAGACCUGAGCCCUAGGACCAUGCCUCAGGACUACCUGGCCUGAUGACUCCUUGCUGUCCCCAGUCCACCUGCUGUCCCCAGUCCACCUGCUGCUGCUCCAGUUUCAACUGUUCUGCCUGCAGCUAUGGAAUCCUGACCUGUUCACCGGACGUGCUGCCUUGUCCUGGACCUGCUGUUUUAGACUCUCUCUCUCUACUGCACCUGCUGUCUCUAACUCUGAAUGACUGGCUAUGAAAAGCCAACUGACAUUUACUCCUGAGGUGCUGACCUGUUGCACCCUCUACAACCACUGUGAUUAUUAUUUGACCCUGCUGGUCAUCUAUGAACGUUUGAACAUCUUGGCCAUGUACUGUUAUAAUCUCCACCCGGCACAGCCAGAAGAGGACUGGCCAACCCUCAGAGCCGGGUUCCUCUCUAGGUUUCUUCCUUUCUAGGGAGUUUUUCCUAGCCACCGUGCUUCUACAUCUACAUUGCUUGCUGUUUGGUGUUUUAGGCUGGGUUUCUGUACAGCACUUUGUGACAUCUGCUGAUGUAAAAAGGGCUUUAUAAAUACAUUUAAUUGAUUGAUAAAGAGAUAUAGACAGAUAUAGACGGAGAUAGAGAUAUAGAUAGGUUGGAUUCUGCAGCACCAGUACUAGACCAGACCUUGGAAUUAAUCUUUCUUUACCAGAGACAUUUGACAAUAUAUCAACAUUUGAAUGGUGAUCUAAGCACACCAUGUUUAGACUCAACUUAAACAGUUUCCUCUCUCCUGUCAUUUUCUCUCAGAAGUGUUCAGAGACCAUUAGCGUCAUUAUGAAACACUCCCAACAGAGGGGUCAACGAGCGAACACAUACCCGUUGUAUGCCAGCGUCUUUGCCAGGCUACACUCCACACUUCCUUAGCCCCUGACUGGAGGACAGUCCUCUCUCGCUCAGCUCAGAGGCCAAGGCCUUUUUAGCCACAGGGCUCUUUCAAGGCCUAAUGGGGCUGGCAGUGGCAACACAGUGGAUUCGUCCUAAAUGGCCCAUAUUCAUUUUAAAGUACAAUACUUUUGACCAGGGCCCAUAGGACACCCUAUUUCCCCAUAGGGCUCUGGUCAAAAGUAGUGCACUAUAUAGGGAAUAGGGUGCCACUUGGGAUGCACAAGUCUGUUUUGUGCUAUGCGUUUGUACUUGCUCCUUUUUCUGUUGUAGUUUGACAUAUACAUUCAUAUGGUGGAAUGUUGUGCAACGUAGAGAUUCAGAUUUUCCCCAAAAUCUACAAAGUUUCAAUACCGGGAAUAAUCCCUAUUUAUCCCGAGAGUCCUGGGAAAUACUGCAAAAAUCAGAAGUGCCCUUUUAAAACCAAGAUGGUCACUAUGCCAGGGUUCUCCCCAAAUAAGAGGGGUGCUGUGCCACCUUGUCGGCUUGGCUGCGCCACUAUGGAAAGAUUUCAGAGCAAAUGAAAUGUAAGUUUAGUCAUGAUAGUUACUCUAUCUUUGAUCGCCAGCGCAUUUCAGAAGUAGCCCCACAGAGCGCACUCCGAGUAUAGCGCUGUUUCUUUGUAACGGCAGUCAAACAAAAGUCAAAUGACCAAAGUUGCUAAACUUGCUAGAUAACCUCCUUCAACGAAUGACAGAAUAUCUCCCAUAUUUGGCUAAAUCAAGUUGAUGAUUAUAACGAUAGCAGAUCAGCUCAUGAAUAACAGGGAGAGGAAGUGGAAAUAGUUUAAAUAUCAAGGUAUCUUAACGAGGACUGUUUAAAAAAUAUCCAUAUCAACUCUCAUAUCGUUUGUUGAUCACACAUUCUCUAUGAGACAGCACAGAGACGGGGGGAAAGAGGUAUUUUGACAUGCAUAGGCGAGAGACGUGCUUUGAUAAUGCAUCCUAUGGAUUACAGAAUGAAAUGAGCUACAGGAGUGAGACAGGAGUCAGGAUUGUGGGUUUCAUGAGGAUUGGAAUUGGAUAGGGAAAUAGCCCAGGUUCUAGGAUGAGAAUACAUGCCUUGUUAACGGACUUCAUGCCUGUGACAGAGAUGCUUAUGUAGUGAAUUGUACAUAGGCCUAUCAAAUUUGUGACUGUCUGAAGAUUUACAAUGACAGCUGAAAGAGGCACAUGCUCUUUAAAAGACUACACUGUAAGGUUUUCCUGUGGGGUUUAUUAACUGUAUUCGGGUCAUGUGUGCAGGCCAGAGCGACCGGCAGUGUCAAUUAUGCGUGCGCUUUGAAUUUAUAGCGACUUUGUGUCAAAUAUGCUAGACUAAAGGCUUCAAUGUGACAACCUGUUUGGAUAAUGUCUAAUAAAUGUUUUUGUUAAUCUUU